AGCGAACGUUUGCGGCGGGCCUAACACAUGCAAGUCGAACGCACUAGCAAUAGUGAGUGGCGCACGGGUGCGUAACACGUGGGUAAUCAACCCUUCAGCCUGGGAUAACGACUCGAAAGGGUCGCUAAUACCGGAUACGGCGCGAGAGGCUUCGGCUUCUCACGAGAAAGCCACGCAAGGGGCACUGAAGGACGAGCCUGCGGCCCAUCAGCUAGUUGGUGAGGUAAGAGCUCACCAAGGCUAAGACGGGUAGCUGGUCUGAGAGGAUGGCCAGCCACACUGGAACUGAGACACGGUCCAGACUCCUACGGGAGGCAGCAGUGGGGAAUCUUGCGCAAUGGGCGAAAGCCUGACGCAGCGACGCCGCGUGGGCGAAGAAGGCCUCGG
rnacentral:rRNA from 1 species